rnacentral:rRNA from 1 species
GAUGAACGCUAGCGAUAGGCUUAACACAUGCAAGUCGAGGGGUAACGUGUUGGAAGCUUGCUUCCGAUGACGACGACCGGCGGAUGGGUGCGUAACGCGUAUGCAACUUGCCUCACAGUGGAGAAUAACCCGGAGAAAUCCGGACUAAUACUCCAUACACUCUUAAGUACGCCUGUACAUGAGAGGAAAGAUUUAUCGCUGUGAGAUAGGCAUGCGUCCUAUUAGGUAGUUGGUGAGGUAACGGCUCACCAAGCCGACGAUAGGUAGGGGUGCUGAGAGGCAGAUCCCCCACAUUGGGACUGAGACACGGCCCAAACUCCUACGGGAGGCAGCAGUGAGGAAUAUUGGUCAAUGGAGGAAACUCUGAACCAGCCAAGUCGCGUGAAGGAAGAAUGUCCUAAGGAUUGUAAACUUCUUUAGCGAGCGAGUAAGGACUUCCACGUGAUGGGAGUUUGAAAGUAGCUCGAGAAUAAGUAUCGGCUAACUCCGUG